ACUGGCUUAGUAUAAUAAGUAUGUGGGAUUGUAGCUCCUAAGGUAAUAGAAGUUUUAGUCAGAA
rnacentral:tRNA from 1 species